CACGUAGGGGCCAAGCGUUGUCCGGAUUCAUUGGGCGUAAAGAGCUCGUAGGCGGUUCAGUCAGUCGGGUGUGAAAUCUCCGGGCUCAACUCGGAGGGGCCACCCGAUACUGCUGUGACUCGAGUCCGGUAGGGGAGUGGGGAAUUCCUGGUGUGAGCGGUGAAAUGCGCAGAUAUCAGGAGGAACACCGGUGGCGAAGGCGGAUCUCUGGGCCUGUCCUGACGCUGAGGCGCGAAAGCGUGGGGAGCAAACAGG
rnacentral:rRNA from 1 species